rnacentral:lncRNA from 1 species
CUUCACAAUUUAUGUUCUUCUGCCACGGCUUCAGCCAGUCCCUCCGUUCGGGGUCCCUGUCUUCUCACAACAAGAAUCAAAGCAAAACAACAACUGUCUUAAGACAGUCAUAACCACACAAUUGACAAGGAAAUUUGCUUAUUUCUGUGUCAUACAACAAUUUAACAUAAUAAUCAUAAUUAUUACAAUAUGUAUUAGGACAUAUCAGAAUUUUAGGACUCUCCUACAUUCCUAGAACACAUAUUAACAACACAUCUAUAGAAAUAUAACCCCCAAAAAGUUAAAUACCACCUCACAUUUGACAAUGCUUCCUGUAUAAUUCUAACAUACCAAAUAAAUCUAAUAUGUCUCUUUUGGAAUUCAGGAUACCCAAUAUUUUAAAAAGGUUAUCUCGAGGUUAAAAUACUGAUCUAGAACUUGAAAUUUUUCUGCUGGAAAGUCUGUCAAAAAUCAAAGAUUUAAGACACUUGAGAUCACAAAAUAAGUUCACAAGUUACUAAAAAAUAGUCAUUCAUUUAGCCAAAAUCAUAAUACAAAAAUGUUUACUUUUUGAUAGAGAGGAGACUCAAUUUCCUUAACAAUAAAACCUGAUAAAAACUGCACAGCACCAGCUAAAUCUGUCUUCCCCACUCCUUCUUUUUUUCUUCUACAGUUUUACUCAAAAGGUAAAUAGAAAUCUCUUAUUAUCUCUUACAUGAAAAUUUUGUUCAAAAGAGAAAACCAAAUUUUACCUUUGUAUGUUGUAUUAUUAAUGUCAAAACUAAUUUUAAUAAAACUUUAUAAACAAAUCUAUCUAACUUUAAUCAGUUUGAUCACAAGGUAAGAUUUCCAUGAACUUUUUGUAACUUUUUACAGUUUUCUACUAAAGAGCAGAUUAAUGCUCCAAGAAAACCAUGUUAUUUAGACAUAGAGGUCCAGUUGCUGGCCUUGCAUUAGUGUGCUUUUGAUAUUAAUGUUUAGUUUAUAGAAACACUCUGAGCUAAUCUUAUCCCUCAAAUUCAGCUCUUGCGGUCUCAUGUGCCCACCUCUUCUGUGAUAGUCCCUGGGCCUAGAGGGAUUGAAUAGUUGUUAUUUUAUUUCAUUUCUGCUUUUGUGUCAAUACUCAAGAUUUAGCAGGGAUCAGUGCCUUUUUUCAGACCCAGUGGUCAAAGCCCUGCAACUUAACAGUACAGGGAUUAGUUAAUAGGAUAUUUAUAUUACAGAAAGUCCUAUCAUUCUCUCUAACAUGUCAGAAAUAAAAACACUGUGAUUUGGUGCUCAGGAGUUAUUGCUUGCAGCACUUCAAACCACUGUAUUAAAGUAGUUAAGUUACUCACUACACAUGUCUAAUUGCUGAUACUCUAGUGACAGAGCUGUGACUAAAAGCAUCAAAAGUGUGACAGGUCCUAUGUUAAACUUAUCAAAGCAAGACAACUAACUUGUUUCUCCAUCAUUAAAAACAUAGUAAAUGCAAAUAUUAGUUUUGGAAAUGCAAUAUGAAGACAAAUAAUUUCCUUUCACUUAAAUAUUUUAUAAUGAAACUGAGAUAAAGUAAGAACAAGCAAAGAAUUAAUUUAUUUUCAGCUAUUUAAAAUAGCAUUACAUAAUUCCAAGAUUAGUUUCUAGAUACAGCACUGACAACUUAUUAGAGAACUCUCUGCUGAAAUCUUCAAACUAGUGCAACACUUGUAUUUCUUUGGUUUUCAAGUAUGCACAUGAAGGCUCAUCAGUGAUAAACUGCUUGGGAUCAAAAAUCACUAGACAGAAUCACAUACUUUUUAUUACUACUUAAUCCAAGUGAAUGUCACUUAAUUUUAAUAAUGACUAACACACCUAAGUUAAUUUCAGAGAAAUUUCAAUCAAUAUAACUUCCUUAAGGACAAGGCCAAUCUUUCCUGAACAUUAAAACUUUGUACCCAUUUUAUAGUUUUUCCUCAUUACUUAAAGGAUUAUAUCUGAAACCAACUCAAAUUAUUGAUUGAUUGAAUUACCUUGGAAAUAAACACCAUUUAAACAUUUUAAUUAUCACCAAUCUUUUCAAAUAACAAAAUAAAUAAUGUACUGUUUCUGCUUAAAACUUGUAAAAAUAGUUCAUUUUUUUUAAAACCAGGAACCUUAAAGCUCUUGUGUCUCUCUAGAUCAUCAGAGGUAAGCAAUAGCAACAAGUUUUAAAUGGCUGGUGUAUGAUCAGUAAGUACUUAGUGCUGGUAGCAUCUAUGCAGAAGGCCAAAUACAGUGUGAAAUAAAGCAAUGGAAGCAUUUAUGUUAAAUUUGGCUCCAUGUUAAUCUUCUUUCACUUAAAUAUUUUAUAACAAAACAGGAACAAAGUAAGAACAAACAAACAACUAAUUUAUUGUUAGCUAUUUAAAAGAGUAUCAUCACAUAAUUCCAAGAUUAGUUUCUAGAUACAGUUUGGCUUCAUGCUUAACUGCCAUUGUAUUUCAUUACAAAAUGUAUUAAUUUACCUUCAUCAAGACCAAGAGCUUUAAUUAUGAGCAAUGUUAACUAGCCAAAUUUCUCUAAUUUUCUCUCAGGUUUUAAAGAAUAUUUUACUAUCUAAACUGUUUCAUCUUUAUUUUCUCUGUGUGUGCAUGAAGGGUAGUCAUAUAGAGAAACAGGAAAAAGCUACAUAUGACUUACAUGGACCAUCUAUGACAUGCUUGGGCUUUCUGUUUUGUACUAACUUUUCUUUUCUUUUUAAAAUAAGCAGUCAUUUUAUUUUGGGACAAAAAUUCACCAUACACGAUCCUUUGUCAUACAAAAUUCUUUAUUUUCUUUUUUCUUUU